AUUGAACGCUGGCGGCAGGCCUCACACAUGCAAGUCGAGCGAGCGGCGGACGGGUGAGUAAUGUCUGGGAAACUGCCUGAUGGAGGGGGAUAACUACUGGAAACGGUAGCUAAUACCGCAUACCAUCAGAUGUGCCCAGAUGGGAUUAGCUAGUUGGUGGGGUAAUGGCUCACCUAGGCGAAGAUCCCUAGCUGGUCUGAGAGGAUGACCAGCCACACUGGAACUGAUACACGGUCCAGACUCCUACGGGAGGCCGCAGUGGGGAUUAUUGCACAAUGGGCGCAAGCCUUAUGCAGACAUGCCGCGUGUAUGAAGAAGGCCUUCGGGUUGUAAAGCACUUUCAGCGAGGAGGCGUUACUCGCAGAAGAAGCACCGGCUAACUCCGUGCCAGCAGCCGCGGUAAUAC
rnacentral:rRNA from 1 species